rnacentral:piRNA from 1 species
UGACUGGGGUGCUUGACAG